rnacentral:rRNA from 1 species
UGGGAACGCGAAGAACCUUACCUAGACUUGACAUCUCCUGAAUUACCCUUAAUCGGGGAAGCCCUUCGGGGCAGGAAGACAGGUGGUGCAUGGUUGUCGUCAGCUCGUGUCGUGAGAUGUUGGGUUAAGUCCCGCAACGAGCGCAACCCUUAUUGUUAGUUGCUACCAUUUAGUUGAGCACUCUAGCGAGACUGCCCGGGUUAACCGGGAGGAAGGUGGGGAUGACGUCAAAUCAUCAUGCCCCUUAUGUCUAGGGCUACACACGUGCUACAAUGGCUGGUACAGAGAGAUGCUAAACCGUGAGGUGGAGCCAAACUUUAAACCAGUCUCAGUUCGGAUUGUAGGCUGAAACUCGCCUACAUGAAGCUGGAGUUGCUAGUAAUCGCGAAUCAGAAUGUCGCGAUGAAUACGUUCCCGGGUCUUGUACACACCG